UACGGAGGAUGCAAGCGUUAUCCGGAAUGAUUGGGCGUAAAGGGUCCGCAGGUGGCAGUGUAAGUCUGCUGUCAAAGAAUGAGGCUUAACCUCAUCAAGGCAGUGGAAACUACACAGCUAGAGUACGGUCGGGGUAGAAGGAAUUCCUGGUGUAGCGGUGAAAUGCGUAGAGAUCAGGAAGAACACCGGUGGCGAAAGCGGCAUCCGUGGACCGGUAUUGACGCUGAUGACGCGAAAGCCAGGGGAGGCAAACGGG
rnacentral:rRNA from 1 species